CACUGGCUUUCUUCAUCAACAACCACGCAAUUAAAAUCUAAACAUUGAAUAUUUAAUUAUUCCAAUUGUGUCAUAUUAGUUAUUUGUUAAAUUAGAAUCUAGAUCAUAUUAAUUAUCCUCCCAAUGAUCAGAGUUGAUGGAUUGUGAAACUUCUGGAGUUAUCUAACCUAUCUUCUUGCCCAUCUGGCGGGUGACAUUCAAUUGACGAGCAAGGGCAGCACGGCUGAGGCCAGGGCAUCUUUCAUCGAAUUCUGUAGCUGCUUCUACACGUUUGCCGACUUCUUAAGAUCUUUCAACCAUCUUGAGAUAGAGAUAAUCGCGUGAUUGGGGAUGAAAAAAGGCGAGAAUUGGUACAGCGGUGAUAUUUUUGCAUAGCGGUGCCACUAUAUCC
rnacentral:sRNA from 1 species